UAAGGCCGCACUAGUU
rnacentral:miRNA from 1 species